GUGCAGCAGUCGCGAAACCUCCGCAAUACACGAAAGUGUGACGGGGCCAUCCCGAGUGCCGUCCGCUGAGGACGGCUUUUCCCCAGUGUACACAGCUGGGGGAAUAAGGAGAGGGCAAGCCUGGUGUCAGCCGCCGCGGUAAUACCAGCUCUCCGAGUGGUGGGGACGCUUAUUGGGCCUAAAGCAUCCGUAGCCGGCUGGGCAAGUCCUCCGUUAAAUCCAACGAUUCAAUCGUUGGGCUGCGGGGGAUACUGUCCAGCUUGGGGGCGGGAGAGGCCGACGGUAUUCCCGGGGUAGGGGUGAAAUCCUAUAAUCCCGGGAGGACCACCAGUGGCGAAGGCUGUCGGCUAGAACGCGCCCGACGGUGAGGGAUGAAAGCUGGGGGAGCGAACCGGAUUAGAUACCCGGGGUAGU
rnacentral:rRNA from 1 species